ACGAACGCUGGCGGCAUGCCUAACACAUGCAAGUCGAACGAGACCUUCGGGUCUAGUGGCGCACGGGUGCGUAACGCGUGGGAAUCUGCCCUUGGGUUCGGAAUAACUCCUCGAAAGGGGUGCUAAUACCGGAUGAUGUCGUAAGACCAAAGAUUUAUCGCCCAAGGAUGAGCCCGCGUAGGAUUAGCUAGUUGGUGGGGUAAAAGCCUACCAAGGCGACGAUCCUUAGCUGGUCUGAGAGGAUGAUCAGCCACACUGGGACUGAGACACGGCCCAGACUCCUACGGGAGGCAGCAGUGGGGAAUAUUGGACAAUGGGCGAAAGCCUGAUCCAGCAAUGCCGCGUGAGUGAUGAAGGCCCUAGGGUUGUAAAGCUCUUUUACCCGGGAUGAUAAUGACAGUACCGGGAGAAUAAGCCCCGGCUAACUCCGU
rnacentral:rRNA from 1 species